GGCCUACGGGGGGCUGCAGUGGGGAAUCUUCCGCAAUGGGCGAAAGCCUGACGGAGCAACGCCGCGUGAAUGAAGAAGGCCUUCGGGUUGUAAAAUUCUGUCUUCAGGGAAGAAAAAAAUGACGGUACCUGAGGAGGAAGCCCCGGCUAACUACGUGCCAGCAGCCGCGGUAAAACGUAGGGGGCGAGCGUUGUCCGGAAUUACUGGGCGUAAAGGGCGCGUAGGCGGUUUACUAAGUCUUAUGGUGAAAACGAUCGGCUCAACCGGUAGCGUGCCUGAGAAACUGGUAGACUUGAGGGCAGGAGAGGGGAGUGGAAUUCCCAGUGUAGCGGUGAAAUGCGUAGAUAUUGGGAGGAACACCAGUGGCGAAGGCGGCUCUCUGGCCUGUUACUGACGCUGAGGCGCGAAAGCGUGGGGAGCGAACGGGAUUAGAUACCCCUGUAGUC
rnacentral:rRNA from 1 species